rnacentral:rRNA from 1 species
AUUGAACGCUGGCGGCAUGCCUUACACAUGCAAGUCGAUCGGUAACAGGUCUUCGGAUGCUGACGAGUGGCGAACGGGUGAGUAAUACAUCGGAACGUGCCUAGUAGUGGGGGAUAACUACUCGAAAGAGUGGCUAAUACCGCAUGAGAUCUACGGAUGAAAGCAGGGGAUCGCAAGACCUUGUGCUACUAGAGCGGCCGAUGGCAGAUUAGGUAGUUGGUGGGAUAAAAGCUUACCAAGCCGACGAUCUGUAGCUGGUCUGAGAGGACGAUCAGCCACACUGGGACUGAGAAACGGCCCAGACUCCUACGGGAGGCAGCAGUGGGGAAUUUUGGGCAAUGGGCGCAAGCCUGAUCCAGCAAUGCCGCGUGCAGGAUGAAGGCCUUCGGGUUGUAAACUGCUUUUGUACGGAACGAAAAGCCCCGGGUUAAUACCCUGGGGUCAUGACGGUACCGUAAGAAUAAGCACCGGCUAACUACGUGCCAGCAGCCGCAGUAA